UUCUGAACAUAGGUGUUUUUUAAGCACUCCAUUUUUUAAAGACACCCCAGGUGAGGAUACACCCUCGAGUUAUGCCUGCCUCUUUCUCCUUUGCCGGGAUUUGGCUAUGGGAGAGAGGGAAGAGAGACCAGAACCACAAUCCAAGAUUCCUCUUCUUCUUCUCUUCUCAUCUUUCUAGCCUCAGCCCUACCAUGCCCUAGUGUGAACAAGGUCAUGUGUAACUCUGGUGAGAAUUUACAGACAAGAAUGUCAUUUCUCCUGGAUUCACACGGAAAACAAACCUAGGAUUGCUCCUCAUGUGAAUUUGCGAAUAGCCCAGUUUAUGACACAUCACAUUAUUAGCACAACAG
rnacentral:lncRNA from 1 species